rnacentral:rRNA from 1 species
UACGAAGGGGGCUAGCGUUGCUCGGAUUUACUGGGCGUAAAGCGCACGUAGGCGGAUCGUUAAGUCGGGGGUGAAAUCCUGGAGCUCAACUCCAGAACUGCCUUCGAUACUGGCGAUCUCGAGUCCGGAAGAGGUGAGUGGAACUCCUAGUGUAGAGGUGGAAUUCGUAGAUAUUAGGAAGAACACCAGUGGCGAAGGCGACUCACUGGUCCGGUACUGACGCUGAGGUGCGAAAGCGUGGGGAGCAAACAGG